rnacentral:tRNA from 1 species
AGAAACAAUAGUUUAAUGGGAAAAACAUUUCGAGCGGAGAAAAGUUACAGGUUCGAUCCCUGUUUGUUUCUG